GAAAUUUGUUAUUUUGUAUAUUUCAGUAAUACGAGUGGAAACUUUUUAAAAAUAAAUUCAGCUUUUGAAAUCAGUGAUGGAGAGUUUAAACUGCACACCAGAAGAUGUUAUUGAAUCGGCAAUUACAACGACUACGAAUCUUCUCCCUGAGAAAUCCAGGAAACAGUAUUUAAAGGAACGUAAUUCUUUUAUGGAGUGGCGUAAUAAAAAAGGUAUAAACAGCUCCACAGAAAGAGUGUUACUAACUUAUUUUGAAACUAAAUCCAAAAUGUGGAAGUCUUCAACACUUUGAUCGACUUUAAUUCAAAACUGAAAGACACCCUAAUGGUAAAUAACGACGUAGACAUCAGUAAAUACUCCUCGAAACUCAUUGCAUAUUUGAAAAAUGAAUCAGUUGAAUAUAGACCUAAGAAAUCUAAAACAUUUGCCCGUGAAGAAAUUAAUAAGUUUCUGUUGUAAGCUCCAGACGUUCAUUAUCUCAUGCAUAAGGUUGCUUUAAUAUCUCAGAAGCUCCGCGGAGGGAGGAAUUAUAUAAAAUUAUAGAAAUGGAAAAUGCAAAACCCAAGUUAUAGGUAUCAAUACUUUUUCAAAAAUUCCCUCGCUCAUGACAUCUCUUCGGCGUCUCUAUUAGUGGAUUCCGGUGGUGAUAUAAUUCAACUAAAGAAGCGAGGUGGGUGGAAAUCCAACACAGUUGCGGGGUUUACGUAGACGAAUCAAUAACAAACAAAAUAGAUUCGGCAGUGAAAAUUUUAACGGAAACAACUAGUUCGACUUCAAGCAAUAUUGCAACAAUCCAUUAAGUACUAAUACAACUAUAGACGACGUAAUUUCUUUGAACUCGUUAAAUGUUGCCAAUUCAAGUACCAAUAAUAAUGUAAUUUCUUCUUCAGUUCGAAUUAAUAAUGCUCACAGUUGUACUUUUAAUAAUACUAUUACAAAAUAAAAAUUGAUAAAAGUU